GACAGAGGGUGCAAACGUUGCUCGGAAUCACUGGGCGUAAAGGGCGUGUAGGCGGGAAGGAAAGUCAGAUGUGAAAUCCCUGGGCUCAACCCAGGAACUGCAUUUGAAACUCCCUUUCUUGAGUACCGGAGAGGAAAGUGGAAUUCCUGGUGUAGAGGUGAAAUUCGUAGAUAUCAGGAGGAACACCGGUGGUGUAGACGGCUUUCUGGACCGUAACUGACGCUGAGACACGAAAGCGUGGGUAGCAAACAGG
rnacentral:rRNA from 1 species